ACGCUCGACACCUACGGGAGACAACAGUGGGGAAUAUUGCACAAUGGGGGAAACCCUGAUGCAGCGACGCCGCGUGGAGGAAGAAGGUCUUCGGAUUGUAAACUCCUGUUGUUGGGGAAAAAGAGGAUGGUACCCAACAAGGAAGUGACGGCUAACUACGUGCCAGCAGCCGCGGUAAUCUGAGCGGGCUGGCAAGGC
rnacentral:rRNA from 1 species